rnacentral:snoRNA from 2 species
AUCCUUUUGUAGUUCAUAAACAGGAUGAUAGGGUUUUCACAUUUACUGUGAGAUGUGCUUCCCUCCAACCUUGUUAUAAUGUUGAUGCAUUACCCAUCUAAUG